rnacentral:sRNA from 1 species
GCCGGGCGUGGUGGUGCAUGCCUAUAAUCCUGGCUGCUCAGGGGGCUGAGGCAGGAGGAUCACAAGUUCAAGGCCAGCCUCAGCAAUUUAGUAAGGACCUAAGCAAUGUAACAAGACCCUGUCUCUA